rnacentral:rRNA from 1 species
AGAGUUUGAUCAUGGCUCAGAACGAACGCUGGCGGCAUGCCUAACACAUGCAAGUCGAACGCGUGUAGCAAUACACGAGUGGCGCACGGGUGAGUAACACGUGGGAACCUGCCCUGGAGUGGGGGAUAACCCGGCGAAAGCCGGGCUAAUACCGCAUAUGCUCUACGGAGGAAAGUGGGGGACCGCAAGGCCUCACGCUAUGGGAGCGGCCGAUGUCCGAUUAGCUUGUUGGUGGGGUAAUGGCCUACCAAGGCGACGAUCGGUAGCUGGUCUGAGAGGAUGAUCAGCCACACUGGGACUGAGACACGGCCCAGACUCCUACGGGAGGCAGCAGUGGGGAAUUUUGGACAAUGGGGGCAACCCUGAUCCAGCCAUGCCGCGUGCGGGAAGAAGGCCUUCGGGUUGUAAACCACUUUUCUUGGGGACGAGACAGGACGGUACCUGAGGAAGAAGUCUCGGCUAACUACGUGCCAGCCGCCGCGGUAAUAC